UGGGGAAUCUUGCGCAAUGGGCGAAAGCCUGACGCAGCCAUGCCGCGUGAACGAUGAAGGCCUUAGGGUUGUAAAGUUCUUUUGCCCGUGACGAUGAUGACGGUAACGGGAGAAUAAGCUCCGGCUAACUUCGUGCCAGCAGCCGCGGUAAUACGAAGGGGGCUAGCGUUGUUCGGAAUUACUGGGCGUAAAGCGCGCGCAGGCGGUUUGAUAAGUUGGGGGUGAAAUCCCUGGGCUCAACCCAGGAAUGGCCUUCAAGACUGUUGAGCUAGAGGACGAGAGAGGUGAGUGGAAUUCCCAGUGUAGAGGUGAAAUUCGUAGAUAUUGGGAAGAACACCGGUGGCGAAGGCGGCUCACUGGCUCGUUUCUGACGCUGAGGCGCGAAAGCGUGGGGAGCAAACAG
rnacentral:rRNA from 1 species